rnacentral:lncRNA from 1 species
GAAAGUGGAGAUAGAUUGAUUUCUAAUGAAUUUAUUUUCUUUCCUAACGAUAUUCUUAACAAUGAUUAAUGGUUUGAUGAAAUUUGAACUUUUUACCAUUUGUGGGAUUUUGGGUUUUUGCAGCUUUUUUCUUCUUUUUUUUUACAAUUUAUUUUGGGUUUAGUCAACUUUUAAGGACUUUUUAUUAAGGGAUUUACUUUUAACUCCGUUUCUUUUUGUUGGGGCUUAUUCAACUUACUAUCUACAAAAUUCAUUUUUUUCUCAGUUAAGCAGUAUUUUAAAUGGAUACAAUUGAGAAAUAAACCAUAAAUGUAAAGAAGUAACGUGCAACUACAGAGAGUUAACAUUACCAUUUUUGUAUUGAUUCACAUUUACAAAUUUAUUUAACAGGUUUAGAAAGAAAAAACAAGAAAAAGUAAACUUCUAAACAUGUACCACUAUUUUCAAAGAAAAAAG